rnacentral:rRNA from 1 species
AACGAACGCUGGCGGCGUGGAUAAGACAUGCAAGUCGAACGGGAUUACUUUUGGUAGCAAUACCGAAAGUAAUUCAGUGGCGAACGGGUGCGUAACACGUGGGCAAUCUGCCGAAAAGUGGGGGAUAGCUCGCCGAAAGGCGAAUUAAUACCGCAUGUGGUGAGGGACGACAUCUUCCUGAAUCCAAAGCCGGGGCAACCUGGCGCUUUUUUGAGGAGCCCGCGGCCUAUCAGCNGUUGGCGGGGUAACGGCCCACCAAGGCUAUGACGGGUAGCUGGUCUGAGAGGACGACCAGUCACACUGGAACUGAGACACGGUCCAGACACCUACGGUGGCAGCAGUCGAGAAUUUUUCUCAAUGGGGGAAACCCUGAAGGAGCGACGCCGCGUGGAGGAUGAAGGCUUUCGGGUUGUAAACUCCUGUCAUUUGAGAACAAGUGCCAACAAGUAACUACUGUUGG